CUUAUAUAAUUUUUUUAAUUUCUAACAAAAAAUAUACAAAUAAAGGUAGACUGGGGAUUCAAAAAUAUAUUUAGUGUUAAAAUUUUACUGCAGAAUAAAUUCUUCUUCUGCCUUGUGCAAGAGGGAAACAGAAGAAAUAAAAAAGAAAUGGAAAGAUGCAAGAUCCAUUGUAAAGAAGAAAGAAGCCAGUAGAAAAUACCAGACGAAGAGAACAGGCGGAGGGCCUCCCCCGGAAUCUGUAUUCAAGGCAUGGGAACUUGACAUUUUGUCAAUUAUACCGGAUGAACUUAUCUCUGGGAUUGACGGAGGGGUUGAUACUGCCUUUGCCAGUAAUUCUGAAACAAAUAACUUAGCCUCAUCAUGCACUGCAGUCCCAUCGGAAAUUUCCGCUGGAAUUUCAUCCUUGAUUGUAGAAGAAGUUGACGUUCCGGAAGAAGCUCCAAGUGUACAUGUGUCCGGGCCUUCCACCGACAAAUUCUUUACUUCAACUCUGUAUGGAUCUAAACGUAAAGACACGGCCAGCGACCCCGACGCUGAGUUUAUGCUGAAUUUGAUAGGAGUGAAGGAGAGAAGAGCCAUCGCAGAGGAG